AUUGAACGCUGGCGGCAGGCCUAACACAUGCAAGUCGAACGGUAACAGGAAGCAGCUUGCUGCUUCGCUGACGAGUGGCGGACGGGUGAGUAAUGUCUGGGAAACUGCCUGAUGGAGGGGGAUAACUACUGGAAACGGUAGCUAAUACCGCAUAACGUCGCAAGACCAAAGAGGGGGACCUUAGGGCCUCUUGCCAUCGGAUGUGCCCAGAUGGGAUUAGCUAGUAGGUGGGGUAACGGCUCACCUAGGCGACGAUCCCUAGCUGGUCUGAGAGGAUGACCAGCCACACUGGAACUGAGACACGGUCCAGACUCCUACGGGAGGCAGCAGUGGGGAAUAUUGCACAAUGGGCGCAAGCCUGAUGCAGACAUGCCGCGUGUAUGAAGAAGGCCUUCGGGUUGUAAAGUACUUUCAGCGGGGAGGAAGGGAGUAAAGUUAAUACCUUUGCUCAUUGACGUUACCCGCAGAAGAAGCACCGGCUAACUCCGUG
rnacentral:rRNA from 1 species